rnacentral:lncRNA from 1 species
GCAGCAGUUCGGAACAACAGCAGCAUAAUAAGUGGUUCACAAUAAGCGAGCAUAGCAAUCAGAACUGUUGUUCUCCAAGCUAAAGCUCCGAACUUUGAACAUAAUCGACAUGCGACCAUUGCGACAAUAUCUCAAGUUCUGAGUGUCAAAUAGCAACGAAACCAUGUGAAAAACUCUCAGAUCCUUCAAACUAGAGUCAAUAUCUCUGCAACCAUGACAUGGGCAAAAAUCCAGCAAAUAAAUAUGAAGCCUCUCCACCGAAAAGUACACAAGAAUCGAUCUAGGUUGCGGCACUUUCGCCCUUCUUCUGCAACAUCCUCGUGUAGGAGAAUAGAUGUGAAGAUAGUUUCGGUUUAUCUGCUGCUAUGCAAUUAAACAGUCAUUAGCAGUUGGUUUCUCACAAAGGACGCCCACUACAUAUUUUGAAAGGAAUACAGGCAAGUUAUGUAGUACUCCCUCUGUAAACUAAUGUAAGACGUAAAAACGUCUUAGAUUAGUGUACAGAGGUAGUACAUGUUUGUGAUCUCAAAGAGAAGUGACAGCCACAAAGUAAAAAAUAGUGGCACAAACAAGCCGUUAUUAAAUAUGGCAUUUUAUACAAUAUGCAUACAGCAACCAAACCAGCAGGCAUACAUACCAACACAACAUCAGAGGCAUCAACAACCAAAGUUAGGAGGAGCAGUUGUUAACAAGUUGCAGUUACAUAACUUGGUUUUAUUAUUAUCAACAACCAAAGUUAAAAAUGGACUUCUGAUUUGUUAUCUACUAUAUCUACUUGCAUCCCAACAAGAAAAGCAACAAACAAACAAUGGAACAUUUUUUCUAUCACCAAUAAUCAGUUAAUCGACUAAUACCAAAUAAUGGCAUGUUUUUACUCAGUAACCUCCCAAAUUGGAUUAACAAGCACAAUAAUCAGUGGAUCAACUAGUACCAAAAGAUGGCAUCAAGAGGAUCCAUGCCACCUUCCUUCCAUAUGCUACUUGCUUAAAUAAAUAAAUAGAUAGAUAGAACUGACAUAUCCGAAUACAGGUCUUGUUCAUUGGUUGCUUGUGAAAUAAACCCACCAAGCUAUCAGUUUAAUAUGUGUAGUAUCUUCUCAACAAUUUAGUGUUCAAUAUGUGUCACUGAAUGUAAGCAUACAUAGCAGAUGCUUAGAUCUAUUCAAUAACAAUAUGUGUAGCUUACUGUAAAAAUAGUUGACUGUAACAGAGGGUGAAGUAUCAAUGGUGUACAGCUAUUGGAAUUCUCAUCCCAUAAGCAUUUAUCAUGGUGCAUUCUAGGGAAGUCAAAUUUCAGAUAAAAAGUUACGACAUCUGGUGGACACCAAUGUAUGCACACACUACACAUAUUCUGGAAGUCCAAUACCAGUGUGCAUGAAAGUUGUUCAAUGUCAGUAUGCAUGAAAGUAGCUACAAGGGAUUAGAUUUUGGAGUCUUACAUGGGGUAACCUAACUUAAAAUCAAGAACCCUGUAGUUGGCCGACUUGAUGCAAUCGGAGGGCGGAUGAAGAAGCCCGGCACACAGCCCCCUCCAACAAAUAGCCAUCCCAGCGCCGCCGCCUGCCCUCCAGCAGCGGCCCCAUGACCAUCUCCCUCCGGUGACAGCCAACCCAGCUCCACCGCCUGCCACGCCGCCCUCAGCUGCGGCUCGCACUCCCUCGCUAGUGACGACGAGGAGCUAGUCCCACAGACGCCACCAACUACCAAAUACUCUGCUCCAUCCGCUCAGCUUCGUAUGGGGCAUGAGACAUGAGACCGUGACAAGCGGACGUUGGCGGUAUGUGCUGUCACGGCAUGGUCCGAGGCGUCUGGCAUCGCCGGCCCUGACAAUGGCUCCGCAUCCCAUCCUCGCUUGGCUUCAUGGUAGAUGCUGCAGAGCUCUUGAGCACCGUGCGGUUGUUUACAGCCUACGGUGCUCCCACUGUUUGGAGAACGGUCACCAUGCGCGCGAGUGCCGCAACCCCUAGUGUCCACUUAGCUCAUUGGCAUUCCUUGUUGUGUGCAUGUCCCGCCUUAACAUCGACAUCGAACAUCGUCAAGGUCCAGCUUCCUGUGAAGGUCCGAUGAAGUUCACGCUUCCCUCGGACGCGCUUCACUGUGGGUCUUGAAGAUCAGUCCAAGCUGCUGUGAGGCUUCUAGCCUAGGUUGGGAGCAUUCUGGAGCGGGUGGGGGCUACUCUGAGCAGGCUCUCCCCCAUGCCGGCUAUGUUGUAAACUGCUCCAACGUCGCGUACUCCUGGUGUUACCGGUGUUGGCUCUACGGAAGACAAGGAGGCAAGGCUUUAUGGUUGUUUCCCCCUCGUCUUGGCGAUAAUUCGUCAAUGUUUGCCUUGUCCACUGUGUUCUGAGGGUGAGCCCAUCGCUGUGCUCGUGGCUUUGGUGCUGCAGUCAUGCCUGAACUUCAGGAGCUAUGUCUAAGCCCUACUACGCCUCCAUAAGUGGAGCAUAUGAAGGUGAAUUCACCGACGACCUCGUGCGAGGGAGAUUAUUCGCCUCUGUCAUGUGAGCAACUGGAGGCGCCUGAUCGUGGUUGUAGUAUAUGUUGUUCAUGAUUUUGUUGCAGCCGGCAUGUACUGCUUGCUUCUGAGAGCCGCUUGGUUGAUGACAACUUCACCAAGGUGGACUCACUUGUGCCCUCACUCGUGGCUUGGGCGCCCACUUCACCUCCUCUGGAGCCUUGCUAGGUGGCCGCCACUAAUGAGGACGGUGCUGCUCUAGAAGUUGCUGGCACGCAGUCGCCUGGGUCCAUCGGGCAGGAUGCUGUUCUUGUGGUCGGAGCUUCAGUGCCUAACCUCGGAAACAUUUUCGCCAUCAAGCUUGUUGAAUAGCUAUCUAACUUGGAUGCUAAAUCGGAAAAAUGAUUGGAUGUCUCUUGAAGCAGAAGACAUCGAGGGACAAAUGCAAGAAGGAUGAUGCUCGCCCUCACUUUGGCAUCCGCAAGAAGAAAUUUAGCAAGUGCAAUGGCAAGAGCGGUAAUGGGGAAGCGCAGGUGCUUCCAUGACAUAAUUGUCUAGGCUGCAAACGUGGGCUCAGAUCAGAUGUGUUUGUUGUCUCUGUUGUUAUGUCCUUCUCGAGUUGUUGUUGGUCGAUGGGGUUCAAUUAGUGUGACCCAAGUCUUUGGGGGUUGCAGUUGUUCUAUGUUGGGUGUGUUUGUUGGGGGGUCCUGUGGCUCCAUAGUUCGGGAGUAGUUCCCAUGAGUGGGCAAGUUUAUGACGGUUCUCGCCCGGUUUUCCGUCAAUUAACUGGGAAACUCUCUUCUUGUUAAUUAAUGGAUGAGUCAAAAAGUCACCUAUGUUUCGAGAAAAUAUCAUUUCAUUUUCAGCUGGCCAAAUCAACCGAGCCAUAGGAGCAACUGAGCAUGCAUCCCGUUGGAGGUACAUAGCAACGGAACCAUCUUUUUUCCUUCAGUUAAUUUUAUCAGCAAUGGGACUAGGUUAUGGGUACACUAAUCCUCUUGGAGCAAAGCUCUGAUAAUUAAACUGUUCUAGGCAGUAAUGACCUAGUGUUACAGGGGCCUGAUCAGUAAAGCUCCGAUAAAGUUAACCUACCCAUUGAACCUGAUCAGCACAGCAUCUAUGCUAGAGCAGUCAGUGCAGCGUAAAUCCCCAACACCAUGAAGGUCUUUGGUCAGUUGCUUAGUUAACCUACCUAAGGCUGAUUCUACACAACUACUGUAUUUAUUUUCCCUCUGGCUUGUAUGUAUCAGCAUUCAGCACCAAAGAAAACAUGGUAGCUAGUCAUGGUUGCCUACAAUGACCUGGGUCUGCAGCACGCCUCAAUAUCAGAAUGGUAUAACAUCACAAAGGAGGAUGCCUACAUAUCUAGAAUCACCCAGAAAACCAAAAAAAUCAGCAGACCUACAGACAAAUAUAUAUCUAGUUAUGCAGAAACAUGAGAAGGAAAACUAUAUACUCAUCAAUGAUUAGAAAUCGCACAUUGUCUUGGAAACUCUCAAACUAAAAUGAUCUAUAAAUCUAAGCUACAAGCAAAAGAACUGUAAUAGCAGUCGAUGGUGUGCUUAGUGUUGAUGACUUAAUGUGCAUGUUUGAAAAACAGUAUGAGGCUAGUAUGCACCUCAAGUGUAGAAGCUCGUGUAGGGCAU